UACGUAGGGUCCGAGCGUUGUCCGGAGUUACUGGGCGUAAAGGGCGCGCAGGCGGCGGUGCUGGCCCGGCGUGAAAGCCCCCCGGCUCAACCGGGGAGGGUCGUCGGGGACCGCACCGCUUGAGGGCGGUAGGGGCUGGUGGAAUGCCUGGUGUAGUGGUGAAAUGCGUAGAGAUCAGGCGGAACACCCGUGGCGAAGGCGGCCAGCUGGGCCGACCCUGACGCUGAGGCGCGAAGGCGUGGGGGAGCGAACGGG
rnacentral:rRNA from 1 species